UUUUAUUUUAAAUCUACAAGAGGGCUAUUUGCAAUUUAUUUUGAAUUUGUAUUAGCUAAAAUACAGGUCCAUUCUCAGCUACAUACAGCUUAUUAAAAAUAUAUAAAUGCAUGCUAGUUACAGGUAUUCUACAGUAAUAGUAGUUAUUUACAUUGCGCUGAAUUGUAUGUCCUAGAAUACAACUUCAUGUGUGUUUUACAUACAGAUGAGCUACACAGAACAUUGAAUUUCAGGAAAAAUUCAAAAAUCAAAUCCUCACUCACAAAAGAAGCAGUGCAUUUGAAAAGAAAAUAGGAAAAUAUCAGCAUUUCAGAUUCUUUUGUGCUUUAAACUUAAAAACAAAAAAAGUCAGUAGUUGUGUAUUCUAGAUCCGUUUAUAAAGGACACUUUUAAAUGGAUUUCAAAAAUAGUUUUAAUGUAUGCAUGUACUUCUUCAACACCAAUGAUUUAGGUAUUGUGUUCACAUGAAACAUCACAGCAUAGCAGAGACAAUAUUUACUGUGUUGUUAACAGCACACACUGUUUUUACUGACCCAAAUUCAUCAAGUAUCCUUUUCAUAAAAAUAUGCAACUAUUUUAUUUACUUAUUCAAAUGUUUGCUGCUCAUUUUGUUCUCAUAAACAUCAGACAAACAAAAAGUAACACACUGCCAAAAGCCACCUGCUGCAUCCAGUGAGAAAAAAAACAUCCAAUACGAAUGUGAUUUCAGUCUAGCACUGUAAAAGUGCACUCAUAAAUAUACAAAUUCAAUGAAAUAUCCACAACUUUAAUACAAAAAAUAAGUAGAUCGGCAGAGGGAUUUCAGCAAUUCUCAAAAUAGCUUCGAUUUAAAUGAACAAUAAAAAAUUAUGGCUUAUCGGGUCACUGGUUUUAAAAAAAGAGCUUUGUGUGAGUGCAGCAAGCAUCUUUUGAGGCAGUUCUUGUGUACACAGAUAAUGGAUCUGAAUUAUAACACAAAACUCAAAACCCCUCAUUUACUGCGUUCAUUUACUAUCAUUCAUAAGACAUCGCUAUAUAUCAUGUACAGUACACGCAUAAAAGAUGUUACCUGAUAGUCUCAUGAACUAGGCCUAUGGAGCAGAAUUAGAAGCUUUAGACAAAAUUCAGCAAAAGAAGCUUAUUGUUAAUAAUGGAAACCUUACAACUUGUCCAGUUUUUAUCAGUGCAUACUGUAUGGUCCGAUUCAAUUCAGUAUACGCUGAAAUGUUAAGCUUGGUCAAAGGAAAGGAAUAAUGGAAAGUGUGACUGGCUGAGGUACUUUACAUGCUCCAAUCGCCGAUUACACAAUGCUAAAGUUUCAUCAUAUACGAAAUGCUUUUUGAAACAAGUGUACUGAUGAAACCUCACACUGCUAACUGGAAUCAGGGUGAACAAAAAACAAGCAUCACUUCAAUACUUGCAUUCAUCCAGUACAGAGUUUCUCUAUUGCACCGAUUCAGUAUUUAGAACCUGAAAUUGAGCUCCAGUUCUUUUCCUAUAGGACUCAAUCUGUAGACCUAAAACGAUUAAAAGAUUAAAAGGAAUAGUUUUCUCUAAAUCUGUUCCGAUGAAGAAACAAAUUCAUCUACAUCUUGAAUGGCUUGAGGGCCCUGCUGGUCAUUGACAUAGGAGCUACAAAGGGCCUUUGAACUGGUUCCCAGAGAGAUGUUGACGGAUGGAGGGUUUGGAUCCUGCCGCAUCACCGAGCUUACGCCACACAACCUGAACACACAAAGCAAACACACAGUAUCCGGUGACGGGGGGCAGCAGAUCACCUCCUGGCAUGGUAGACCCCUGUAGACAGAUG